UUUGAUAAACAAUAAAGCACCAAAAGUAUACUUGUAUUUAUCUUCUUCUCUGUUUCCUUCAACACCCAAACACAGUGACAAGGAAGUUUUAAUAUUUACAACAACAAAAAAAUAGAUCCUAAAAUUACCUCAAAUUCCUAAUCUCUACUGCAUCGUAAACCCCUAAUCUAUCCCCUCCCCCUAAUUUCUUGCAGGCAAGGAAUUCUCCUGUUUGCUUAAGAGAUUCAGAUAGGAAGCUCUGUGUUGCUUAUGAAAAGUGAAAUUCGAUCGUGGUCAAGACCUCUAUACAUGCGACAAACUGCAAUGUGCGGCCUCCGUGUUUGAUGGGAUUGCGUGUGCGACGAAGGUACUGUGUUCUUGCCACACUGCUGUUUUAUUAAGAGAUUCAGAUGGGAAGCGAGAGUCAGGAUAUCAAAAUGAUAAGGGGGCUUGACCUUAGUAGAAGUUGAAAGGCGUGGAUCAUCUCUUUGUUUGUAGCUUGGAUGGAACCAGCAUUUGUUUUGUAAGAGACACUGUUUCUGUGUGUUUAGGUACCUGUUUAUAUAAUAUGCCUCGCCAACACUAACAGUUGAUUAACAUCAGUGUAACAUAUUGACCUAAUUACAAAAAAAAAAAUAUAUUAGGAAC
rnacentral:lncRNA from 1 species